CACGGACACCGCCUUGGGCGGCCGCAGCCCCGCACAAAAGCAGAGGAAGGCGGCUGCGUGCCUCCUGUGUCGGCGUGAAAGCAGCGGGAGCUUCCCGGGGAGCCCGCGCCCGCAGCGCGCUCUCCCGGGUAGCGAAGUCAAUCGGAAGGCACAAGGAGUCGGGAACGGGGACAGGCCUCUCUCGGGCACGCAAGCUCCGAGCUAUUUGCAGAUGUUUCAGCUCAGGCUGGGAAUUUGUACUCGAUCUGAGACUCUGUGCAAGUUAAUCUGCGCACGGCCAGUCUGCGGGCCCAGCACAGCACCCAGGCCAGCUGCCCUCCGUGCCUUUUCCUCCCCACACCUUUUCCUCCCCGGCCUCCUGGGAGCACAAAUUCCUCCCCGGCCUCCUAGGAGCACAAAUUCCUCCCCGGCCUCCUGGGAGCCACAGGGCGAUAAGGCACGGAUGACAAUAGCUAGGGCUAGCUCCAUAACAGGAACAGGCCUGCUCUGCCAGCCAGACUCAGAGACAGAAGAGCAGGGUUGACCACACUCUCACUUGAUCCCUUAAAAAAUGCAUUUGUUAAGGCCCUUUACUCCCUGAAGACCACUGAACUUGAAAUAAGAAAUAUUGGUUACACAGCUCAUACAGAGAUUGGUGAUUUCUCCCCGAUCUCUGUUUCAGUCCUCAUGCAACCAGUGCUGCAGGGCAUCUGUCCCCAAAACACACUUCUCACCUGCAUGUCUUCCCUGGAGAUAUUGGAUAAAAAAAUUCAGUGGAGAGAUAUCAGAUAGAAAAUUCAACGGAGAGGAGACAAGAGGAGAUGAGGGGAGAAGAAAAAAACUGCAAACCAAGAUAUUCUUCUCAACCGUGAUGUUCACUGCAAGCAAACAGUCUUAGGAUGAGUGGAUGUCUCUCAGGUGUCGAGCGCAAAGUCUGUGACUUAUUCACAUCAGUGGCAAUGCCUUGUUGAUUUCAUAGAGAAAAGGUUUCCUGCUGUUUCGUUAUGGAUUCAGACUAGUCCCGGUUUUGUUUUCCAGCGGCGUGCUGGGGGAAUGUGAAGUGUCUGAAAAAGCCACUUCCACCAAUAUAUUCUUGGUUGAUUCUGUUCCCCAGGGGUGCAAAAGGAAAAGGAGGGGUGUGGGAGGAAAGAAGAAAUAUCAAGCUAGUCUGUAGAGGAAUGAAGGUCUAGUCUGCAACCACAGACCUGCGAGGACCUCCGCUGCUCCCAGGAGGGCUUCUGGCUGGCAGCACCUGCAUGACCUGCUUGGGAAGUUCAUGGUGUGCAUGGAGAGGUUGUGCAUGCUGCCCCAGCUCUUUCCCUACAGUUUUUGCAUUUUCAGAAGUCCAAAUAUCUCCAUGUAGUCAUGGACAGAAAACCCCUGGCCAGUGUCAUAAAACUCUUCUGUUCUGUCUGGACAAACCUUUCAGACAGAAAAGGAGACGCCCUCCAGAAAAUGUGAUUGUGUGGACAUCUCACUGCAUAGGAUGAGCCUUGCUCUAAGUGAGAUAAAGACUGAUGAUCAUUACUGGAGGAAGGAAUUGCUUCAAUACAGACCCAAACCAACUGAAGCCAGAUGUGACGACUGGUUUUGUGCUGGUUGUAGCUGGUUCCUGUGUGCAAACAGAUGAGAUUUCACCAAGAACACAGCUGGCUGUUUUGGCCAGGCUGUCUCUGGUCCAGGUUUGCCUUUGGGAAGAGACUGUCCAGCCACUGUCGGCAUUGUCCUUUGCCAAAAUCUGCAUUCCUCCUGUUUCUAGCCAAGAGUACAAGGACCACAGGGGGGGUCUGUGCUCCCCUAGCUGGGAAUUGUAACCCAUGGUAGGGGACUGAGAGCCACACUGGGCCCUCAGCUGCCUGGGCACAGAACUGCAUGUGGGAACACGUUCUGUGUGUACAGCCCUCUCAGGCAAACGUGACCUUCAGAGGAUUGUACUUCACUUUCUGGUGGCUGCAAACAUCUAGUGACAGCCAUCUUCUAUGUGUCCCUGGGAAGUGCUUUACCAAUUCUGUGUGUCACCAAAAUGUAAUAAUUAAAAAUACACUGUCUUACUGCACAAAAGUCCAUUUAUAAAGUUCCCUCUAUUUAUACUGGAUCUAUAUUUCCUCAGCUUAGAUAUAUACAAACACCAGUAUGCCACACUUACUAAUAUCCUAGCAUUUUAUUAUUUUUUAAUGAGCCACUGUCAUCACCUCAUCCAGUAAUUUUUUUCUCAUUCCUGUAUUCCUAGACAGAUGGCCUAAAUGGGUAUAAUGGGAUAAUUUUCACUCCACUAAUAGUUUGGCAUUUACGUUUUACACUGCUUGGUAGCUGCUGCACCCUUGAGACAGAGAAUAUGCCAAAGUUUAUGUGAAACCCAUGCUGGAGUGAUGCCAUACUCUCCAUAUUCACCUACCGAGCCAGUCCUUUUUUUUGUUAACAUGGAGUGGGAGCAGUGAAACAUUUUUAAAGAGCUUCUACCCUAACAUUAGAUAGGAAGAUUUAGCCAGAGAACUUUUCACUGAAAUGGCACCUUAGCCUCCUUGGCCAGAGGUGCUUCAGACCAUGGGAAUAUCAGGCUGGCACUUCUACUGCAACAUGUCCGGUGAGAGGAACAUCAGCAGAGCUUGACUUCAUUCACAUAAACCCAGGUUGCAUAUGCAUACAGAGCUCCCAAAACAGAGCUGUGGGGGAAAGAAUCCCACCCUGAUGGAAAGAGGGAAGUGGAACAAAGGCCUGGCUGAGGCAGCACAGCUGGAAUGACAGCAGAGCUAGCAGAGAGAGGGAGCAGGGCAGGGAGCAGGACAGGGAGCACCCUGUCACACAGCAGCCCCUCCAUCCUCCAUCCUCCAGCACAGGGAGGGAGGCCUGCCCAGCCUCUUUUACAGGUGUGCAGGGAACUGGGGGACCCACAGGCUUCUGGGGCUCUCCUCCCAAGCAUGUGCGCUCCAGAUGGGCUAGGACUGAACGCCAGCCAAUAUGUAAUAUUAUUUAUAAUAACAAUAAUAACAAUAUUAAUAACAUAAGAACAUCUGGUAGCAUUUUUUUCCAUCUACCAUUUGGCUGGAGUCGGAGCAUCCGGGUGACAUGACAGUGUAUUUCUGUUUCCAAUUUAGCCCCAGCUCAGCUGCUGCAGUGACUCAGAGACAGGCACUUCCAGGGACGCAUCCCUGCUCCUGGUCCCGGCUGGCCCCACAGGUGUCCCACCACAGACAGCAGAAGCACCUAAGAUCAUCCAUGCUUGGAUUUCCUUUAUUGGCUGUUUCACAGGAGGCUGCAAGAGGGUUUUUAUGCUUCCAUGGCUCCUUUCCAUCCUACCCUGUGAGGAAGUCACCCAACUACAACGGUGUGUUUCAGACAGAAAACAAAAGCUGGCUGUUUUGAAAUCAAACCAGAAGUGGCUCUAUUACACAUUCCAUGCUAUUGAAAGUAUAUUUGACUUCAUACAUAGUUAAACUAUUUUGGUAUUGUUUUGAAUUCUAAGGCUUUCAAAUGCGUCCAGUGAAUAUGUCACUUCCACCAACAAAGAUUUCGGUUUUGACACGCAACUAACAUCUAGCCUAAAAAAUUAAUGCUGAAGUUAAAAACAGACUUUUCUUUCCUCAUUAUACUGACAGAAAGUUAAAAACAAAAUUAUAAUGGAAGCUGAAGCUGUUGCUCCUAAAGUGCUUACAGAUAGUUGCAGUAGGAAUACUUUUAUCCAUCCUGCUCAUCAAUAGUUUCUCCCAACAAGUCCUAGCUGGGGAGUUGAUUUCUUUGGGAUCUAGUGAACUGAGGGUGGAUUCCUCAGCCAUGGAACAGGCUUUCACUUCAAAGCAGUUAACACAUUGUGCACGCACUCUCAUCUGCUAUAAAUUUAUACAGGUUGAUGACAAACUUAAAAGGUGCACUAUUAAAACUUCAUGUUCAAGAAUAAUGUUCA